rnacentral:rRNA from 1 species
GUCUGUGGCCAUACCACCCUGAACGCACGCGAUCUCACUGAUCUCAGAAGCUAAACAGAGUCAGGCGUGGUUAGUACUUGGAUGAGAGAAGAGUUCACUAUGGCUGCUGUGU